AUUGAACGCUGGCGGCAGGCUUAACACAUGCAAGUCGAACGAGUGGCGGACGGGGGAGUAAUGAUUGGGAAUCUAGCUUAUGGAGGGGGAUCACUACGGGCAACUGUAGCUAAUACCGCGUACCAUCAGAUGAGCCCAAGUGGGAUUAGGUAGUUGGUGAGGUAAAGGCUCACCAAGCCGACGAUCUCUAGCUGGUCUGAGAGGAUGACCAGCCACACUGGGACUGAGACACGGCCCAGACUCCUACGGGAGGCAGCAGUGGGGAAUAUUGCGCAAUGGGGGCAACCUGACGCAGCCAUGCCGCGUGAAUGAAGAAGGCCUUCGGGUUGUAAAGUUCUUUCGGUAGCGAGGCGUUAACUACAGAAGAAGCACCGGCUAACUCCGUGCCAGCAGCCGCGGUAAUUC
rnacentral:rRNA from 1 species